AGCGAACGCUGGCGGCAGGCCUAACACAUGCAAGUCGAACGGAUCCUUCGGGAUUAGUGGCGGACGGGUGAGUAACACGUGGGAACGUGCCCUUUGGUUCGGAACAACUCAGGGAAACUUGAGCUAAUACCGGAUGUGCCCUUCGGGGGAAAGAUUUAUCGCCAUUGGAGCGGCCCGCGUCUGAUUAGCUAGUUGGUGAGGUAACGGCCCACCAAGGCGACGAUCAGUAGCUGGUCUGAGAGGAUGAUCAGCCACACUGGGACUGAGACACGGCCCAGACUCCUACGGGAGGCAGCAGUGGGGAAUCUUGCGCAAUGGGCGAAAGCCUGACGCAGCCAUGCCGGGUGAAUGAUGAAGGUCUUAGGAUUGUAAAAUUCUUUCAGCGGGGACGAUAAUGACGGUACCCGCAGAAGAAGCUCCGGCUAACUUCGUG
rnacentral:rRNA from 1 species